UCUAUGGCGAGUUUGAUCCUGGCUCAGAGCGAACGCUGGCGGCGUACUUAACACAUGCAAGUCGAACGAGGAUCGUCGGGUUAGCAAUAAUUCGGCGGUCCUAGUGGCGUACGGGUGAGUAACACGUGGGUAACCUGCCCUCGAGUCCGGGAUACCCUCUCGAAAGGGAGGCUAAUACUGGAUAC
rnacentral:rRNA from 1 species